rnacentral:rRNA from 1 species
UGCGAACUCCUACGGGAGGCAGCAGGGGGGAAUAUUGCACAAUGGGCGCAAGCCUGAUGCAGCGACGCCGCGUGGGGGAUGACGGCCUUCGGGUUGUAAACUCCUUUCGCUAGGGACGAAGAGUAAUUGACGGUACCUGGAGAAGAAGCACCGGCUAACUACGUGCCAGCAGCCGCGGUAAUACGUAGGGUGCGAGCGUUGUCCGGAAUUACUGGGCGUAAAGAGCUCGUAGGUGGUUUGUCGCGUCGUUUGUGUAAGUCCGCAGCUUAACUGCGGGACUGCAGGCGAUACGGGCAUAACUUGAGGGCUGUAGGGGAGACUGGAAUUCCUGGUGUAGCGGUGGAAUGCGCAGAUAUCAGGAGGAACACCGAUGGCGAAGGCAGGUCUCUGGGCAGUAACUGACGCUGAGGAGCGAAAGCAUGGGGAGCGAACAGGAUUAGAUACCCUAGUAGUCCAGAUG